rnacentral:rRNA from 1 species
AUAAGCACUUGUACUGUGAAACUGCGAAUGGCUCAUUAAAUCAGUUAUCGUUUAUUUGAUUGUACCUUACUACAUGGAUACCUGUGGUAAUUCUAGAGCUAAUACAUGCGAAAGAUCCCGACUUUCCGGAAGGGAUGUAUUUAUUAGACUAAAAACCAAUGCGGGCCUCGGCUCGCUUGCUUGGUGAUUCAUGAUAACUUUUCGAAUCGCAUGGCCUUGCGCCGGCGAUGUUUCAUUCAAAUUUCUGUCCUAUCAACUGUCGAUGGUAAGGUAGUGGCUUACCAUGGUUGCAACGGGUGACGGAGAAUUAGGGUUCGAUUCCGGAGAGGGAGCCUGAGAAACGGCUACCACAUCUAAGGAAGGCAGCAGGCACGAAAAUUACCCAAUCCCGAUUCGGGGAGGUAGUGACAAGAAAUAACGGUACGGGGCCUUUAUAGGUCUCGCAAUCGGAAUGAGAACAAUUUAAAUCCUUUAACGAGGAUCAAUUGGAGGGCAAGUCUGGUGCCAGCAGCCGCGGUAAUUCCAGCUCCAAUAGCGUAUAUUAAAGUUGUUGCAGGUAAAAAGCUCGUAGUUGGAUUUCGGAGCGGGCCCGUCGGUCCACCGCAAGGUGAGCUACUGGCGGGUCUGUUCUUCUUCGCAAAGACUGCAGGUGCACUUCGCUGUGUGCUUGUCGGAUUUGUGACGUUUACUUUGAAAAAAUUAGAGUGUUCAAAGCAGGCUUUCGCUUGAAUACAUGAGCAUGGAAUAAUGGAAUAGGACUUUGGUUCUAUUUUGUUGGUUUCUAGGACCGAAGUAAUGAUUAAGAGGGACAAACGGGGGCAUCUGUAUUUCGUUGUCAGAGGUGAAAUUCUUGGAUUUGCGAAAGACAAACAACUGCGAAAGCACUUGCCAAGAGUGUUUCCAUUAAUCAAGAACGAAAGUUAGAGGAUCGAAGACGAUCAGAUACCGUCCUAGUUCUAACCAUAAACGAUGUCGACUAGGGAUCGGCGGGCGUUAUUUUAUGACCCCGUUGGCACCUUACGGGAAACCAAAGUUUUUGGAUUCCGGGGGUA